GCGAAAUUUAGUAGCGAAGUAGCUGAUUUCACACUGUCAAGAAAAGUCUCUAUCGAGGUUAAAGGUACCCGUACCGCAAACCGACACAGGUGGGUGAGGAGAGUAUCCUAAGGCCAGCGAGAGAACUGUUGUUAAGGAACUCGGCAAAAUGACCCCGUAACUUAGGGAUAAGGGGUGCCACCAUCAGGUGGCCGCAGAGAAUAGGCCCAAGCGACUGUUUACCAAAAACAUAGGUUUCUGCUAAGUCGCAAGACGAUGUAUAGGAGCUGACGCCUGCCCGGUGCUGGAAGGUUAAGGGGAUCUGUUAGAGCAAUCGAAGCAGUGAACUUAAGCCCCAGUAAACGGCGGCCGUAACUAUAACGGUCCUAAGGUAGCGAAAUUCCUUGUCGGGUAAGUUCCGACCCGCACGAAAGGCGUAACGAUUUGGGCACUGUCUCAACAACAGACUCGGUGAAAUUGUAAUUCCGGUGAAGAUGCCGGAUACCUGCGACAGGACGGAAAGACCCCAUGGAGCUUUACUGUAGCUUGACAUUGGGUCUUGGUACUACAUGUACAGGAUAGGUGGGAGGCUUUGAAACCAGGACGCCAGUUUUGGCGGAGCCAUCCUUGGGAUACCACCCUUGUAGUACUGGGACUCUAACCAUAG
rnacentral:rRNA from 1 species